rnacentral:rRNA from 1 species
GACAGAGGAUGCAAGCGUUAUCCGGAAUGAUUGGGCGUAAAGCGUCUGUAGGUGGCUUUUCAAGUCCGCCGUCAAAUCCCAGGGCUCAACCCUGGACAGGCGGUGGAAACUACCAAGCUGGAGUACGGUAGGGGCAGAGGGAAUUUCCGGUGGAGCGGUGAAAUGCGUAGAGAUCGGGAGGAACACCUGUGGCGAAGGCGGCCCCCUGGGCCGGCCCUGACACUGAGACGCGAAGGCGUGGGGAGCGAACGGG